rnacentral:rRNA from 1 species
GAUGAACGCUAGCGGCAGGCCUAACACAUGCAAGUCGAACGGUAAGGCCCAGCUUGCUGGGUACACGAGUGGCGCACGGGUGAGUAACGCGUAUGCAACCUGCCUCGAACAGGGGGAUAGCCCCGAGAAAUUGGGAUUAAUACCCAUAACGCAUCGGAGCCGCAUGGCUCUGUUGCUAAAGCCCCGGCGGUUCGAGAUGGGCAUGCGUGGCAUUAGCUAGUGUGGGUAACGCCACAAGGCGUCGAUGCCUAGGGUUCUGAGAGGACAGCCCCCCAAACCUGGUACUGAGACACGGACCAGACUCCUACGGGAGGCAGCAGUGAGGAAUAUGGUCAAUGGGUAGAGCCUGAACCAGCCAUGCCGCGUG